CGGCCGCGUCGACAUUAUGCAUGAAUUAUCUGGAAACAGGUAAGCCGCAAGGCAUGUAUGAAGGUGCUGCAUGGCUGUCGUCAGCUCGUGUCGUGAGAUGUUGGGUUAAGUCCGUAACGAGCGCAACCCUUGUCCUUAGUUACCAGCACGUAAUGGUGGGCACUCUAAGGAGACUGCCGGUGACAAACCGGAGGAAGGUGGGGAUGACGUCAAGGUCGACGCGGCCG
rnacentral:rRNA from 1 species